AUUGAACGCUGGCGGCAGGCCUAACACAUGCAAGUCGAGCGCGCGGGGGACGGGAGAGGAAUGUCUGGGAAACCGCCAGAGGGAGGGGGAAAAAUACUGGAAACGGUAGCUAAUACCGUAUAACCACAGUUGUGCCCAUAUGGGUAUAGAUUGUAGGUGGGGUAAUGGCUCACCUAGGAGACGAUCCCCAGCUGGUCUGAGAGGAUGACCAGCCACACUGGAACUGAGACACGGUCCAGACUCCUACGGGAGGCAGCAGUGGGGAAUAUUGCACAAUGGGCGCAAUCCUGAUGCAGCCAUGCCGCGUGUGUGAAGAAGGCCUUCGGGUUGUAAAGCACUUUCAGCGGGGAGGCGUUACUCGCAGAAGAAGCACCGGCUAACUCCGUGCCAGCAGCCGCGGUAAUAC
rnacentral:rRNA from 1 species